rnacentral:rRNA from 1 species
AUGGCGAGGUACUGGUGGAGCAGCUCGGUUCAUCGGCAAUCGUUACACUGGAUCGAUUGGCCUUCACUAGCUAAACCAAAGGUUGCUGGAGGGAUGGGUUUUCGUGAUUUGGAGCUCUUUAAUAUAGCUCUACUUGGAAAGCAUGGAUGGAAUCUGAUUACGAACCCGGAAUCUUUUUGUGCUCGAGUUCUUAAGGGCAAGUAUUUCCCGAACAAUGAAUUCAUGGAGGCCACCAUCCCAAAGUGUGCCUCGACUACGUGGCGGGCGAUCAUCGCCGGCAGGAAAGCGUUGGGUCACUAG